UACGUAGGCAGCGAGCGUUGUCCGGAAUCAUUGGGCGUAAAGCGCUCGUAGGUGGAUCGGUAAGUCUGCAAAGAAAGACCCGGGCUCAACUCGGGGAACGGUGUGGAUACUACCGAUCUUGAGGCAAUCAGAGGAUGAUGGAAUUCCCGGUGUAGCGGUGAAAUGCGUAGAUAUCGGGAAGAACACCCGUGGCGAAGGCGGCUCUCUGGGACGGUACUGACGCUGAGACGCGAAAGCGUGGGGAGCGAACAGG
rnacentral:rRNA from 1 species